UAUUGAUAACGAUUGAAUAAAUUUAAAUUGAAAUAUACAUGUAAAGCUUACAAAAUUAUUUAAUAAGAAAAAAAGUUGCAUGGAAUUUUUUUUUUUCUUGAUGCUAAUUUGAGCUUUGUAAUUAUCAAAGGAUAGGCUUUUCUCUUUCUUUACCUUUCUGAAAUUCCAUUAAUUUGAAGUUGUUUAGUGUUAGAAGUGAUAAGAUUCUGUGCUCAACUCAGGGGAUUAUUAUGAAAAGUCAAUAUAUUUUUUUAUAUAUUUUUAUUUAGUGUAAAAUUUAUAUUCCUAAAUAGAUAGAGAUUUGCAUUUAUAAAUAGAUGGAGAUUUGUAUUCCUAAUUAAUAGAGCAUAAUUUUAGAGAUUUUUUUUUCUUAUUUAGGAAUUUGAGUUAUAUAUGAAUAUGUGAUAUUCCGUUCUAUCAAAGGUAGAAAAAUAAUAAUACAAAUAUAAUAUUUGUGGUUCUCUUCCCUCAUUUUCUUUCUUUCUUAUUUUUCUAAUUCUUAAAUUCUUUAACAUUUAGUUUUGGUUAGAGUAAUAGGAAAUGCUACAGCUCUAGUUAGCUUUUGUUGAAAAGUAUAAAUUAUGUUGGAUUUUUUUUUGUUGAGGGUGUUCGAUUCUAGUUCUGGUUCAGAAUCUGUCUAGAAAUUGAAAUUGAAUCAAAAUUUCGGUACAGUUCCGCUUUGGUUUUUGGAUAUUUUAGUUCUCAGUUUUGAUUUGGUUAAGUAUGGUUCCAGUUUAAUCCUUGAUUUUUAAAAAUAAUUUUAUGCAACUUUUUAUAUGAAAAGUUAUACAUAUGAAUUAGCAUUUUAACUUUAAAGUUGAUUAUUAAUGCACAAUAUAUUAUAUAAUAUACCUUUUAACUAUUUUUUUAAUUGUAUAAUAUUUACCUAUAUAUAUAUAUAAUGAUGCACGGAAACGACAAUGCUCGACGUUUCCAUGUUUUGGAAAGAUUUUCGACUUGAAAACGGCGAGACACGGAGUGGAGGCGUUUCGAGCCCGUUUCAUGAAAUUUGGAGAUUUAAUGUGUUUCGGAUGUUGGAAACGCGUUUCUUUAAAAUUAAAAAAAAAAAAGGGAAAUUGAUGUUAGGUUAAAAACGCUAUAAAACAAAGAGGUAGGGGUUGUAUCGCAAAAGAAGAAGAAGAAGAAGAAAAAAGAAAGAAAGAAAGAAGAAGACUUAUUUGGCAGCAACAGUGGUGACGGCAGCUAGAUCAUCGGAUGGCGGCGAGGCAGACACAAUUUUCCUCUUUGGGUUUUGAUCCUCUAACUGUUGAGCUGUUUUCUUUGGGCUCUAUUACUUGCUUUAUGAAGAUAGGAGCAGAAGUUACAUUAUAUAUAAAGAAUGAUAAAAUAAUUGUAAAAAGAUGUGUUUUAUUUUAGUUUUAUAUUUAUUAUGUUUUUAUAUAAAGAUAGAUAACUUAGCAGACUAGCUCAACUGUUUAAAUUCAUGUUUCUCAGUUCCAAAGGAGAAACAUUUUCAAGGAAAUUAAUGUUUUUUUUUAAGUGAGAAAAUUGAAUCAAUUUGAACCUUAUAAUUCAUCUAUUUUUAUGUAAUGUGGCCAUCAAGCAUUUAAGAUUUUUUAUGGGCGAUUAACUUUAAUAAUUGCAAUGUAAAAGGCAAUCUUUCUAGUAUUAAGGCCUUAUUAUACCAUUGUGGCCAUUGAAACUUUGUUAAAAUGUUAUCUCACAUUAAAAGAAUAUAAAAUGAAAAACCUACAUAUAAAUAAUUGGUUUGCAAUAUUAAAAUUUUAUUUUUUUUAAUAUUUGAAUGUGUUGUAUUUUAUAUUUUUCUGAGUAUAAAACUUAUAUACAUGUAUUUUUUUUUAUAUGGUUAAAUGUUGCUUUGGACUUUAUUUAUUGUUCAUGAUUUGUGUGGUUGGACAUAUAUAUAUAUAUAUAAUCUUAAUUACAUUUUCAUUGAAAUAUAUAAUUGUAUUAAAAAUAUAUAAUACAUCUAAAAAAUAUAUAAAAAAGGUAUAAAAUCGAUACUCAGUUGAUAUGGAUUUGGUUCAGUUAUUAGUAAAGAAUCAAAAUCAAAUCAAUUCAUAAAAAAGGGUUCGAUUUGAUUGAGACCUGAGAAAUGUACACAGCCAUGUUUUUUGUUUCCAUUGUCGGCGUUAGAUUCUGUUUGGUUCCUCAGAAAAGUUAAGGAAGACGGAAAAGCAAGCAUUUUGGUUCUUUAACCUUUGGGAUUCAGUUCUAAUAUCCAAUUAAGCUUUACAGUUUAUCUAUUGAUUUCGUUGCAGAAUUUUAUAGUGUUACCAUUCUUUUCAUUAGAACUUUUGUCUCACCAUCGAAUAAGUUUGCCACGUCGCUUGAUUAUGAUUUUAUUUUUUUUUAUUUUUUAUUAAGUAUGG